CCUACGGGGGGCUGCAGUGGGGAAUAUUGGACAAUGGGGGGAACCCUGAUCCAGCCAUGCCGCGUGUGUGAAGGAGGCCCUCGGGUUGUAAAGCACUUUCAGUGAGGAAGAACGCCUGGUGGUUAAUACCCAUCAGGAAAGACAUCACUCACAGAAGAAGCACCGGCUAACUCCGUGCCAGCAGCCGCGGUAAUACGGAGGGUGCGAGCGUUAAUCGGAAUUACUGGGCGUAAAGCGCGCGUAGGUGGCUUGAUAAGCCGGUUGUGAAAGCCCCGGGCUCAACCUGGGAACGGCAUCCGGAACUGUCAAGCUAGAGUGCAGGAGAGGAAGGUAGAAUUCCCGGUGUAGCGGUGAAAUGCGUAGAGAUCGGGAGGAAUACCAGUGGCGAAGGCGGCCUUCUGGACUGACACUGACACUGAGGUGCGAAAGCGUGGGUAGCAAACAGGAUUAGAUACCCGGGUAGUC
rnacentral:rRNA from 1 species